UACGUAGGCAGCGAGCGUUGUUCGGAGUUACUGGGCGUAAAGAGUGCGUAGGCGGUUUUCUAAGUUUGGUGUGAAAUCUCCCGGCUUAACUGGGAGGGUGCGCCGAAGACUGGAAGGCUUGAGUAUGGGAGAGGUAAGCGGAAUUCCUGGUGUAGCGGUGAAAUGCGUAGAUAUCAGGAGGAACACCUGCGGUGUAGACGGCUUACUGGACCAUAACUGACGCUGAGGCACGAAAGCGUGGGUAGCAAACAGGAUUAGAAACCCCCGUAGUCC
rnacentral:rRNA from 1 species